CUACGGGGUGCAGCAGUGGGGAAUAUUAGACAGUGGGGGAAACCCUGAUCCAGCAAUGCCGCGUGUGUGAAGAAGGCCUGCGGGUUGUAAAGCACUUUCGGUUGGGAGGACUGCUUCUAGCACUAAUAUUGUUGGAAGUUGACGUUACCUUCAGAAGAAGCACCGGCUAACUCCGUGCCAGCAGCCGCGGUAAUACGGAGGGUGCAAGCGUUAAUCGGAAUUACUGGGCGUAAAGCGCGCGUAGGCGGCUAGAUCAGUCGGGUGUGAAAGCCCCGGGCUUAACCUGGGAACUGCAUCCGAUACUGUCUAGCUUGAGUACAGGAGAGGAGAGUGGAAUUCCACAUGUAGCGGUGAAAUGCGUAGAUAUGUGGAGGAACACCAAUGGCGAAGGCAGCUCUCUGGCCUGAUACUGACGCUGAGGUGCGAAAGCGUGGGUAGCAAACAGGAUUAGAUACCCUAGUAGUC
rnacentral:rRNA from 1 species